GUGCCAGCCGCCGCGGUAAUACGGAGGGAGCUAGCGUUGUUCGGAAUUACUGGGCGUAAAGCGCGCGUAGGCGGCUUAUCAAGUCAGGGGUGAAAUCCCGGGGCUCAACCCCGGAACUGCCUCUGAAACUGGUAGACUAGAAUACUGGAGAGGCGAGUGGAAUUCCGAGUGUAGAGGUGAAAUUCGUAGAUAUUCGGAAGAACACCAGUGGCGAAGGCGACUCGCUGGACAGUUAUUGACGCUGAGGUGCGAAAGCGUGGGGAGCAAACAGGAUUAGAUACCCGUGUAGUCC
rnacentral:rRNA from 1 species